rnacentral:rRNA from 1 species
GACGAACGCUGGCGGCGUGCUUAACACAUGCAAGUCGAACGGAAAGGCCCUGCUUUUGUGGGGUGCUCGAGUGGCGAACGGGUGAGUAACACGUGAGUAACCUGCCCUUGACUUUGGGAUAACUUCAGGAAACUGGGGCUAAUACCGGAUAGGAGCUCCUGCUGCAUGGUGGGGGUUGGAAAGUUUCGGCGGUGGGGGAUGGACUCGCGGCUUAUCAGCUUGUUGGUGGGGUAGUGGCUUACCAAGGCUUUGACGGGUAGCCGGCCUGAGAGGGUGACCGGCCACAUUGGGACUGAGAUACGGCCCAGACUCCUACGGGAGGCAGCAGUGGGGAAUAUUGCACAAUGGGCGGAAGCCUGAUGCAGCAACGCCGCGUUCGGGAUGACGGCCUUCGGGUUGUAAACCGCUUUCGCCUGUGACGAAGCGUGAGUGACGGUAAUGGGUAAAGAAGCACCGGCUAACUACGUG